GAUGAACGCUGGCGGCGUGCCUAAUACAUGCAAGUCGAACGCUGGAGAUCUAGCUUGCUAGAUCGAAGGAGUGGCGAACGGGUGAGUAAUACAUAAGCAACCUACCCACGAAGACUGGGAUAAUCUCUGGAAACGGGGACUAAUACCGGAUAGGUAAUCGGAAGGCAUCUUCUGGUUAUUAAAGGUUAAAAACACUGGUGGAUGGGCUUAUGGCGCAUUAGUUAGUUGGUGAGGUAACGGCCCACCAAGACGAUGAUGCGUAGCCGGCCUGAGAGGGUGAACGGCCACAUUGGGACUGGGACACGGCCCAGACCCCUAGGGGGGGAAGCAGUAGGGAAUUUUCGGCAAGGGGGGCAACCCUGACCGGGAAACGCCGGGUGAGUGAAGACGGCCUUCGGGUUGUAAAGCUCUGUUGUAAGGGAAGAACGGUAGAUAGAGAAUAUCUAAGUGACGGUACCUUACCAGAAAGCCACGGCUAACUACGU
rnacentral:rRNA from 1 species